rnacentral:lncRNA from 1 species
CAAACUGCAAUCAUUAACACAUCAAGGAAAGAUGCAAUGCACAAACAAGAGCAGAACUCAGAAGCAAAUCUAGUCAUUACAUUGCACAAAGGCUUUCAAAAUGGUUUAGUAUUGGUUUUUCUUAGUAGUAGAGAUAAUAUCAAGGCAGGUCAACCCUCAUCAUGCUAACACUGAAAUUUAGAUGCCCGUAUCAGACACCAUCCACAUACCCACUGUGAUUAAUGUCUUUGUCAAUAGAAGAAGAAACAUGACAAUUCUUCUCUGAGUAGAUACUUAUCACAAUGCAAUCGUUUCUUUGUUUUUUUUUGUUUUUAUUGGUGAAAAAUCCNNNNNNNNNNUCUUUGUUUGUAUAUGAAAUCAAAUCGUAGAAUUUCAAGAAUUUGAAAGAGAAAAAUAAUUACUUACCUUAAAUCCAGAAUUUAAUCAUGGAGGAAGUUCAUGGAACAACUUACAAUCAUUAUGCUCAAUCCCAAAGCUUCUUAUUGAAGAGGCGCUGAACGCGUUCCCGCGAUGAAUGAUCUAAACUGUUAUCCAUUGGAAUGGCCAUCAUACAUCAAGCAUAUAUAAGUAGGCCCCUUAAAGUAAUUUUAAAAGCAACACAUUCAAUCUGCAGGACCGUAGCAGAAUUAGAUCUCAAAAGGAAAACGUGAAAACAGAAAAGGAAAAACAAACUGCAAUCAUUAACACAUCAAGGAAAGAUGCAAUGCACAAACAAGAGCAGAACUCAGAAGCAAAUCUAGUCAUUACAUUGCACAAAGGCUUUCAAAAUGGUUUAGUAUUGGUUUUUCUUAGUAGUAGAGAUAAUAUCAAGGCAGGUCAACCCUCAUCAUGCUAACACUGAAAUUUAGAUGCCCGUAUCAGACACCAUCCACAUACCCACUGUGAUUAAUGUCUUUGUCAAUAGAAGAAGAAACAUGACAAUUCUUCUCUGAGUAGAUACUUAUCACAAUGCAAUCGUUUCUUUGUUUUUUUUGAUUGGUGAAAAAUCCAUAUAUCAGCUGAAAGCUUGAGCGUGCAAAAUCCAUGUUUCAGCCCCAAAACCUUUGUCUCAGGUUUACUUCAAACUCCUAUUUAAAUAAGAUUAUCGAGAAUCUAAAUCCUCUCGAAUAAGUCAAAGAAUACAUGUUAAUUUACUAUAUACAUAUAAAAGCACAAAAAUAAAUGCACCAAUAGCUUAUUAGUCCCAGUGGCAGAGGUUGAGGGACUUGUGACUUAGGUCACGGGUUCAAGCACUACCAUAUGCGAACUAAACCCAACAUUUAAGUGGGGGAGGAUAGAGGGGCAAGUCGAUUAUCCAGGAGUUUCAAAGGCUACAAUUGGUCCUAAGGGUUGGCCCCACGCAGAUUUCUCAGUCAUCGAAGCGGGAGGGAUAACAAGCAUCGACAAAACGGGCUCAAAGAGACAAAACAGAUAUAGAGGAUUCACAUAGCGGAAUCACCUAUUUGGGAUUGAAGGGUAAUAGUAAUAGUUACUGUUGUUGACUACCUUCCUCUUCCCAGGCAGAAACACCUAUCAACAGGAUUGGAUUUUCCAAGUACACCCACAUAUUCCAGGUUAAUAUGUGUAUAGAUGACCAUUUGCACUUCGAUUUAACCGAACCUUACCCUAAGCCAGGCUCUAUCAAGCUGAGGUACCUCUUUCACCUAAUUUACCUCAUACUUCAUGAGGAAUAUAACGAAAAAAAGCUUAAUAUAAUGAUCAAUAAGGGAACAGCAAACAACCCCCAAAUUUUUGUCAAUACCCUAACUACAAGAACCCCCAAAUUUACACAACAAUUUAAAACUGAUGAAAUUUCU